GACGAACGCUGGCGGCGUGCUUAACACAUGCAAGUCGAACGGAAAGGCCCUGCUUUUGUGGGGUGCUCGAGUGGCGAACGGGUGAGUAACACGUGAGUAACCUGCCCUUGACUUUGGGAUAACUUCAGGAAACUGGGGCUAAUACCGGAUAGGAGCUCCUGCUGCAUGGUGGGGGUUGGAAAGUUUCGGCGGUUGGGGAUGGACUCGCGGCUUAUCAGCUUGUUGGUGGGGUAGUGGCUUACCAAGGCUUUGACGGGUAGCCGGCCGGAGAGGGUGACCGGCCACAUUGGGACUGAGAUACGGCCCAGACUCCUACGGGAGGCAGCAGUGGGGAAUAUUGCACAAUGGGCGGAAGCCUGAUGCAGCAACGCCGCGUGCGGGAUGACGGCCUUCGGGUUGUAAACCGCUUUCGCCUGUGACGAAGCGUGAGUGACGGUAAUGGGUAAAGAAGCACCGGCUAACUACGUGCCAGCAGCCGCGGUGAUACGUAGGGUGCGAGCGUUGUCCGGAUUUAUUGGGCGUAAAGGGCUCGUAGGUGGUUGAUCGCGUCGGAAGUGUAAUCUUGGGGCUUAACCCUGAGCGUGCUUUCGAUACGGGUUGACUUGAGGAAGGUAGGGGAGAAUGGAAUUCCUGGUGGAGCGGUGGAAUGCGCAGAUAUCAGGAGGAACACCAGUGGCGAAGGCGGUUCUCUGGGCCUUUCCUGACGCUGAGGAGCGAAAGCGUGGGGAGCGAACAGGCUUAGAUACCCUGGUAGUCCGCGCUGUAAACGGUGGGUACUAGGUGUGGGGUCCAUUCCACGGGUUCCGUGCCGUAGCUAACGCUUUAAGUACCCCGCCUGGGGAGUACGGCCGCAAGGCUAAAACUCAAAGGAAUUGACGGGGCCCCGCACAAGCGGCGGAGCAUGCGGAUUAAUUCGAUGCAACGCGUAGAACCUUACCUGGGUUUGACAUGGAUCGGGAGUGCUCAGAGAUGGGUGUGCCUCUUUUGGGGUCGGUUCACAGGUGGUGCAUGCCUGUCGUCAGCUCGUGUCGUGAGAUGUUGGGUUAAGUCCCGCAACGAGCGCAACCCUUGUUCACUGUUGCCAGCACGUUAUGGUGGGGACUCAGUGGAGACCGCCGGGGUCAACUCGGAGGAAGGUGGGGAUGACGUCAAGUCCUCAUGCCCCUUAUGUCCAGGGCUUCACGCAUGCUACAAUGGCUGGUACAGAGAGUGGCGAGCCUGUGAGGGUGAGCGAAUCUCGGAAAGCCGGUCUCAGUUCGGAUUGGGGUCUGCAACUCGACCUCAUGAAGUCGGAGUCGCUAGUAAUCGCAGAUCAGCAACGCUGCGGUGAAUACGUUCCCGGG
rnacentral:rRNA from 1 species